CUCUGAUUGAACCAUGUUGUAGAGUGUUGAUAACUGUAGCUCUGAUUGAACCAUGUUUAAAGUGUUAAUAACUGUCUGUUUAGGGGAAACCAGGGUACCCAGGAAGACCCACCAAUACCAAUUAGGUGAUCAUGUUGAAGAAGAGUGAGGCUGAGAUCACCUGAUCACCAUAACAACCAUCAGAAUGGAACUCAUGGAAUUCUAAUAUAGAACUGUGAGUCACAAUGCUGUAUGUUGUUACAUUGUAGCUCCACCUGAUGGAACAAUAGUGGCAUUUGAUCAAAUGUGAUCUAUUAACUGAUACAUGUAUUAUUCUGAUUGGAAUGUGUUUUAAUAUAAUGUGUGUUGUAUUAUUCAUUCAGCAGCUGUCCUUUAACAUCAGUCAUAUACUGGUCAUAUACUGUAUAGCAUUAUGGUUGAUACAUUGUAAAUGCCUUCACUUUUCAUGUCUAUACAGAUCAACUGAUAGGUGUUGUGGUUCAGGCAUUAUUGUUACAGGUUCAGUAUAAUGUUAUACCAUUACAUGUUACAGAGUUAGAAAACAUACAGGAGAGGAGAAUUCAAUUAUUAGAAUGAUUUACUUUAUUUUCCCAUUUUGUUCUCUAUAGUAGUUUAUCAUUAUUUGAUUUAAACAUGAAACCAAUGUUGGCCUUUUAUUUUAUUGUGGUAUUUUUGUGCAAAACAAUUAUUUGUCAAUUAAUCAUCCUGGUAAGAUAUUGCUUUUGUCUUUGUAGCAUAUAGAAUUAAAUAAAUGAUUUUCGUCAA